AAAUUAUAACAAAUGGAGAAUAUGUUACUCUUUAACAUUUCAACAAAAUAAGUAAUUUAAAAGGUAAUUAAAUCAGAAACAUCAGAUUAAACCAUAAUACUAUUUCUUCAUAGAAACUACAGGGACAUAUAUGAGAUAUUAGGAGUUCACCCAGUGGUUAUGUUGUACAGGUAGUCACAUGUUAAAGUCCCGAGGAAGAGGGAAUUGGCAACUAGGAUGUGGGCUGUGGGUGCCAUUUGACAGCUUAUCAGCUCAUAGGAUCCAAGAAAAUGAGUAUAGUGAUUUGUCGCGGUAUUCUACAUCACACGACAACUAUUUGCAGAUUCCUUACAAGGUAAUAGUUGAGCUACUGGCUGGCGUGCAAACCAUUCUUAACCCCUUUUUUAACAACCAUUAGAAAGAGGCUUUGGGGAAAGUGAGUUUUGGAAUAGUGAUUUUUUGGAGAAUAUAUGGUUAAAAAGUAUAAAAAAUCUUGGGUUUAUGUGCAAAAUAUUUAUUGUGAGAAUGUGUUGUUGAAAAUAAGUUUGAGAAAAGAAGCGUUUUGCUUUAAUGGUUGUCAAACACGGCCUUAAUGUGAUCAGCAAAGCCCACCCCCACCUUCUCUCUCAACCAUUUUCUUCUGUAAGUAAGCUAACAAGAUUGCUCGACCGAAUCACUCAAGUACCAUCUAUCCCACAGAAAAAUGCUGAAAGAUUAACCAAAGAACGGAAUUCUCAAAAUAAUCAAAUAAUAAUGAAGAAUUUAAUUUGUUUUAAGGGUAGAAUGUAUUAAGAGGCCUAUGUGCUCGACCGAACCACUCAAGUACCAUAUAUCCAUAAAAAAAUACUGAGAGACUAAACAAAGAAUCUAUUAAUAAUGAAGAAUUUAAUUUGUUGGAAGGAAGGAAUGCCUAUAAUUGGACUUCAAUCAGAUACCCAAAUAUCAUAAGCACCUUAAAAGUCCAACCCUUCUCAACAGAUUGCAUUAAAUAAGUGAAAUUCUAGGACCAUACGCAUAUUUCACUGGAGAAAUAAAAAUACCUAUUUCCACUCAGAAUCAGAACUCCAUGAGAAAUUGAACAAAAAUCUUAGUUUCAAGUUGUAGAAUCUAUGUUGAAUCACUGGUAAUUGCAUUGAAAUGCCAGAAAAAUCACAGUAAGAAGUCAAAAGAAGCUAUUGUGAUAUUAUAAUCGGGGUAAUAAUUUCGAAGAAAUACAUAUUCAAGAACAAAAAACUUAAGAUGUAUCAAGAGAACAAAACUUAGAUUAUUCUUUGAAAAUUGACAAUCGGAUAAUUGCAACCGAAUGUAUGUGUAUAUUGGAGUAGAUCAUUAUAUCUAAGCUUUCUUUUUCCUCUUAGGGAUGUGUUUCUCUACAUGAGAAUAUGUAGUGAAGACAAUUUGCGACAAAAACAAGCUUAAAUGCAUUGCAUUUUGUUAAUGUGCAACUUUUUCUGAUCAUCAGCAGCAGGUUUGAUCUCAACUUUGACAGUAAGUAAAAAGCAUGAUAUUCAGAAUUUAGAUGCAUCAUUCCAGAUCUUCAUAUAUACAAACUCAGUACCUUUCCACAUGCAUUCAAAGAGUUGAUAAAAGUAGAAUUAAAUGAAGAAUAAUUGAGAAUACCUCAGCUUCCAUGACCAUCUGGUCCACAUAACCUUUGAGUUUAUUAACUCUCAGGGCCUCAGUGAAAAACCUGAAUUGUUCCUGCCUAAUGGAAUAAUCCACAUCAAACACUACCCC
rnacentral:lncRNA from 1 species